rnacentral:rRNA from 1 species
AUUGAACGCUGGCGGCAGGCCUAACACAUGCAAGUCGAGCGGGGUUUUCGGACCUAGCGGCGGACGGGUGAGUAAUGCGUAGGAAGCUACCCGAUAGAGGGGGAUACCAGUUGGAAACGACUGUUAAUACCGCAUAAUGUCUACGGACCAAAGUGUGGGACCUUCGGGCCACAUGCUAUCGGAUGCGCCUACGUGGGAUUAGCUAGUUGGUGAGGUAAUGGCUCACCAAGGCGACGAUCCCUAGCUGGUUUGAGAGGAUGAUCAGCCACACUGGAACUGAGACACGGUCCAGACUCCUACGGGAGGCAGCAGUGGGGAAUAUUGGACAAUGGGCGCAAGCCUGAUCCAGCCAUGCCGCGUGUGUGAAGAAGGCCUUCGGGUUGUAAAGCACUUUCAGUAGGGAGGAAGGGUGUUGUGUUAAUAGCUCAGCAUUUUGACGUUACCUACAGAAAAAGCACCGGCUAACUCUGUGCCAGCAGCCGCAGUAAUAC